rnacentral:rRNA from 1 species
CCUACGGGUGGCAGCAGUGAGGAAUAUUGGUCAAUGGACGAGAGUCUGAACCAGCCAAGUAGCGUGAAGGAUGACUGCCCUAUGGGUUGUAAACUUCUUUUAUAUGGGAGUAAAAUGUUCCACGUGUGGGAUCGUGUAUGUACCACAUGAAUAAGGCUCGGCUAACUCCUGGCCAGCAGCCGCGGUAAUACGGAGGAUCCGAGAGUUAUCCGGUUUUAUGGGGUUUAAAGGGAGCGUAGGUGGAUUGUUAAGUCAGUUGUGAAAGUUUGCGGCUCAACCGUAAAAUUGCAGUUGAAACUGGCAGUCUUGAGUACAGUAGAGGUGGGCGGAAUACGUGGUGUAGCGGUGAAAUGCUUAGAUAUCACGAAGAACUCCGAUUGCGAAGGCAGUUCACUGGACUGCAACUGACACUGAGGCUCGAAAGUGUGGGUAUCAAACAGGAUUAGAUACCCUGGUAGUC